rnacentral:lncRNA from 1 species
GGGCUGCACCCAUGGCAUAUGGAGGUUCCCAGGCUAGGGGUCCAAUUGAAGCUACAGCUGCCUGCCUACACCGCAGCCACAGCACAGCCAGAUCACAGCCGUGUCUGUGACCUACAGCACAGCUCACAGCAAUGCUGGAUCCUUGACCUACUGAUCGAGGCCAGGGAUUGAACCCACAUCCUCAUGGAUACUAGUCAGAUUCGUUUCUGCUGGACCACAAUGGGAACUCCCAGAGAAAAGUUAUUUUAAAACAUUAACAGCUUGCCACUGACACUGAUUAUCUUAAUGAAUUUACCCAUGAACAUCUAUCUUGGUGUAGGAUCUGUAGCACUAAAACCACUGACCAGAACCUACAAUAACAGAAACAACUAGAAAUUUGUUUUGGGUUUGUGUUUCAUUUUCUUUGUAUGGCUGAAGUGAGAAACAGUGUAAUCAUGGGUCUGGUUAAAGCUUUGCAAUUGUUCUGGUACCCAUUUAACUCUGCCGAUGAACAACACACAUGUGACAGACUAAAAUCCAGACAGGAUCUGACAAGUAAGGCAUAUCCAACACAGGUCUUAUUAUUGUCAAGGUUUCUAGGUGUGGCUCGCUCAAGCAUAGUAAGAUCAUUUAGAGCUCUCUGAGUCAGUCACCCGCUCUCCCAUCUGUGUCUCCCCUUCCGAGUCAGACAUGGGCAGGCGCAGGACACUCUAUACAGAGCACAGAUCUGAGCCAAACAGUACAUUUCAGGAGAGUGCUAACUCAGGAAUAUCUCAUUUUUUUAUGAAGGAAAAUGAAGACAGGAAAAACUAUUAACUAAAAUACACAUCUACAAAAAUGAAAAAACUUACUUUUAAAAAUGUUCGUGAGGAGUUCCUGUCAUGGCUCAGUGGUUAACGAAUCCGACUGGGAACCAUGAGGCCAAUUUUUUUCAAGUUUGUACAGUACAUGUUGCUAUAAAAAGACGGUGCAAGUGAGGAGGACUUUUGGGACUCCUCUAAAACUUGAGUUUUAGGUUCCUUCAUAAUCUGAGGAAAACUGCUUACAUCAAGCAAGUUCCAUUAUCCAAGUUUAAUUACUAUGGUGACCAUCAGAAAUUUUCAACCAACUCCCAUAUGUUUAAGGGGACGUGUUAUCACGUUUUACCGUUCAUGAAACACUCAAAGAAUGAUGCCUGCCUUAGGGAACUCCAGAGACCUGUGAGUGAUGUUUAUGGGGGGGGUGCAUCUUUAAAUGAAGGUCACACAAACUGUUCCACAAAGUUUACAGGUAAUUAAAAUGAAUUUCUCCUCAUGUCUGAGGCCAAGUCUAACAGUUCUACUGUCAAUCAGUCAAAACUGAAUACAAAUUUCCCAAGUUCUGUGAUCAGUUGUUUUGAAUGUCUCUAUUUGCUCAAUCACCUAGAGCUCUGAGUCAGUGAGGCAGGACAGAAAAACUGUCAUGGCCAAGUGAGUCUGUGCAAUUUAGUCAGAGUACCAAAAAUCGUUACCAAGAGGCUGGCAUGCCUUAAUCCGAAAAACCUUAGCAAUAAGACCAAAACAAAACGCAAAAACUUUAAAACUCAAAAGCUCCAUUAAAGCUCAAAUUUCUUAAAUUAUUUCAAUGCUUUAAAAAUAUUCUUAGAAAAAAAAAUAUUCCUAGAUAGCAAAAGUUUUUGAUGGGUCUCCUUUGGCCUACAUGAUACUGACAAAGGAAGUGUGAGUGGUCCACAGUUGAUGAAAAGAAAAAUAACAGAAAAGAAGUUUAAAAAGCUACAGACUUGCCAGAAACACUGUAAUUCAAGCCUGGAAGUACUUAUAAAAGGACUUUUUUUUUUUAAUGAUUUUUAUUUUUUCUAUUAUAGCUGGUUUGCAGUGUUCUGUCAAUUUUCUACCAUACAACAAGGUGACCCAGUCACACAUACAUAUAUACAUUCUUUUUUCUCCCAUUAUCAUGCUCUGUCAUAAGUGACUAGAGAGAGUUCCCAGUGCGGACUUACUUGAUAGAGAUGACACUGUCAAGCAUUAUCCUAAUCUACUAAUUAAAAUCCUUAAGCUUGCAAAAAAUUGUCAUUAGUACAUGAAAGUUGCACUGAUUCUUUCCACAUUGAUUAAUUCAAAUUUCUCUUAUUAAUUCUUAUCCUUUUCUGUGUUUUCCAAAGGAAAACAGCAUCUACGGUACAUUGUUUUUUUAACUACAGAACAUAAAAUUAAGGGUAUUUAAGAAACUAUGGAAAACACAAAGUUUACAAAGGAAUUUUGAAUCAUUCAGUUUCCUAUCUAGACUUUUCUAUAGGCAUUUGAAAAUCCAUAACUAAAGGUAUAAAAAAUAUGUACAUAUUUUAAGUGUAGAAAACAUACACAGGAAUGUUUACAGCAAUGAUGUUUGUAAUAGCAAAAAACUAGAAACAACUACAACAUCUGCCAACUGGUAAAUGAACUAAUAAACUGAGGUGAAUUCACGCAAUGGAAUGCCAGAGCAGCAGGAAAACAAAAAAAGAACUACAAUAACUGCAUCAGCAAAAUCAAACCUCAUAAACAAUGCUGAGCCAAAAAAAAAAAAAAAAAAGGCAAGUCACAGAAGAAUACACACAGUACAGCAUGAUUCCACUCCUCAAGUCUAGAAACUUUCAAAACUAAAUCAUAUUUUGUUUGGGAUAUAUACAAACUGUGAAGCAAAAAUAGGGAAUGAGUAACAAAAUCCAGGAUGAUAGUUACACUGGAGGGUGAGCUGAUAGUUACCAGGACAGACUCAAGGGCCUUAAGAAGUAUUGUAAGGUUUUAGUUCAUAAACUAGAUCACAGACAACGUACUGCUCUUCCUCAGACUGUGCACAUACAUAAUAUAUACUCUUUUGUAUGUUCUAUUCCAUAAUAAAAAUGUAAAUACCGGAGUUCCCGUCGUGGCGCAGUGGUUAACGAAUCCGACUAGGAACCAUGAGGUUGCGGGUUCGGUCCCUGCCCUUGCUCAGUGGGUUAACGAUCCGGCAUUGCCGUGAGCUGUGGUGUAGGUUGCUAUGGCUCUGGGCGUAGGCCGGCAGCUACAGCUCCAAUUAGACCCCUAGCCUGGGAACCUCCAUAUGCCGCAGAAGCGGCCCAAAGAAAUAGCAAAAAGACAGGAAAAAAAAAAAAUUACGACUCCAAGUUUUUAAGAAGAAUAUAAGAAAAGUGGCAACUCAAGGAGUUCCCAUCGUGGUGCAUGGGAAACGAAUCCAACUAGGAACCAUAAGGUUGCGGGUUCGAUCCCUGCCCUUGCUCAGUGGGUUAAGGAUCCAGUGUUGCCG